UCAACAUGUGACGCCAUGGGGGUAGGACGCCGGGAACUAUUCUCCGCUCUGUUCUCUCAUGGGAUACUCCCUCCUGGGAGGAGGGAAGAGCACAGGAUUCAGGUGGACUUGCAGGAUUCCUACUCCCACUCAGGAAGCUUCUACUUGCAGCAGGACCCUGCCGGGAGAGGAGUCUUGCUUCCUGUAGCUGCCUGCGAGGAUCUCCAAGGAUGCAGCUUCCCGGAGCCGGAGCCGCCACCUCACUGGGUGAUUAACUCACCAGUGUAGACUUGGGUAUGGGGUUGUUCCUGCUGCCCCAGGGGCACUGUCUGUAGUGGACGACCUUGGUUCACGUCUGCCCUUGGAAGUCACUGAACACCCCUUCCUGGGCCAUUUCUGUUUUCCAGAAGCCCAAGCCCAGUCACUGCUCCUACCCUGCUGACUCUCAGGUGCCCAAGGCCCAGCGGCUCAGGGCCCAGCUCUAGUCUAGCUUUGUCUGAGUGGGCUCAGGUGGCCUGUGCCUGAACACGGUGUUUUCCUAUGGUC